rnacentral:lncRNA from 1 species
AUGAGGGGUCACAAUCCUUGCUUGUGGUCNUUCCACAGAAACCCUCCAGAUAUUACCUGGAAUCCCUCCUCACUCCCAGAUUCCCAAGGUUUUGGAGAUCCCAGAUUCCACAGAAACCCUCCAGACCUUACCUGGAAUCUUUCCUCACUCCCAGAUUCCAGAGGGGUUUUGGAGUGCCCAAAUUCCACAGAUCUUUCCUCACUCCCAGAUUCCAGAGAGGUUUUGGAGAUCCCAGAUUCCACAGAAACCUCCAGACCUUACCUGGAAUCUUUCCUCACUCCCAGAUUCCAGAGGGGUUUUGGAGAGCCCAAAUUCCACAAAAACCCUCCAGACCUUACCUGGAAUCUUUCCUCACUCCCAGAUUCCAGAGGUUUUGGAGUGCCCAAAUUCCACAGAAACCCUCCAGACCUUCCCUGGAAUCUUUCUUCACUCCCAGAUUCCAGAGGGGUUUUGGAGAUCCCAAAUUCCACAGAUCUUUCCUCACUCCCAGAUUCCAGAGAGGUUUUGGAGAGCCCAAAUUCCAGAGAAACCCUCCAGACAUUACCUGGAAUCUCUCCUCACUCCCUGAGUAAUGCAGCCCGAAUUCCAGAGGUUUUGGAGAGCCCAAAUUCCACAGAAACCCUCCAGACCUUACCUGGAAUAUUUCUUCACUCCCAAAUUGCAGAGGUUUUGGAGAUCCCAAAUUCCACAGAUCUUUCCUCACUCCCAGAUUCCAGAGAGGUUUUGGAGAGCCCAAAUUCCACAGAAACCUCCAGACCUUACCUGGAAUCUUUCUUCACUCCCAGAUUCCAGAUUCCACAGAAACCUCCAGACCUUACCUGGAAUCCCUCCUCACUCCCUGAGCAAUGCAGCCCGAAUUCCAGAGGUUUUGGAGAUCCUAAAUUCCACAGAUCUUUCCUCACUCCCAGAUCCCAGAGAGGUUUUGGAGAGCCCAGAUUCCACAGAAACCCUCCAGACCUUCCCUGGAAUCUUUCCUCACUCCCAGAUUCCAGAGAGGUUUUGGAGAGCCCAAAUUCCAGAGAAAUCCUCCAGAUCUUACCUGGAAUCUCUCCUCACUCCCUGAGCAAUGCAGCCCGAAUUCCAGAGGUUUUGGAGAUCCCAGAUUCCACAGAAACCCUCCAGAUAUUACCUGGAAUCCCUCCUCACUCCCAGAUUCCCA